rnacentral:rRNA from 1 species
GACGAACCGUGCGAACGUUAUUCGGUAUCACUGGGCUUAAAGCGCGUGUAGGCGGGCGGGUACGUCGGCGACUGAAAGCCCCCGGCUCAACCGGGGAAGGGGUGCCGAAACGGCCGGCCUGGAGGGGCGUAGGGGGAUCUGGAACUUCCGGUGGAGCGGUGAAAUGCGUUGAGAUCGGAAGGAACGCCCGUGGCGAAAGCGAGGUCCUGGACGCCAUCUGACGCUGAGACGCGAAAGCCAGGGGAGCGAACGGG